ACUUCAAUAAACUGACCACCGAACACUGAGGAAAUACAAAUGUUUUGCAUCAAAAAUUAAAGAAUUCAUGACGUCCAAAAAAAAAAAAAAUAUCCCAAACUUGCUUGAAUUGGCAUCUGCCAAAUGACCCUCACUAAAUCAUUAAGUGGAUUUUUAGGUUGGGUGGUAUUUUCUGGUUUAGGAAAGGUGGGGAGCUAGAAGAUAAGACAGUCAAACUUUCCAGCUACAGAAUGGACACAAUCUGCUGUAACAUCUGGAAUUCUAUGGGGUUCAAAGUUAUAACAACAAUGGUGAUGAUGGCACUAAGAUUAAUUCAAUUCUUACUACGUCACAGGCACCAUUCUAUGUACGUUAAAUAUAUCCAACAAUCCUGUUAAUUUCACAGAUGAGCAAAACAAGACACAGAAAAGCUAAGUAACUUGCCCAGGAUCACACCAUCUUGUUCCCUGCUCACAGAGGAGGAUGUGGGACUGAAGGUGCCAAGCUCCUAUGAGGUGUGGCUGGUCAGUGAUGGAAAUCUGACAUGGAGGCAGCCACCACAGGAACCCAGAUCACAUUUCCAAUGUUGCCAUUUAAGCAACAGUCUCCACACUCUUCCAGCCAAAACAUCAAUCAUCGCUCAGGUUCCAAGUAAUCAGGAGCAUCAGCUGAGACUCCAAACAACCAGUUUCUUUUCAGACUGUCUCCACGAAGAUUGGGGAGGAGGGGAGAGAUCUCGGCUUUCUAGAUUUGCCGAUUUGCCUGGAACUGCCUUCAACCAAUUUAAGAGAAAUUAGAGAGGAAAGCAGCUCUGGAGGAAAUGUGCAAAUUAAAGAUGCAUGUGGCACUGAUGAGUGCUAUUCAGUAAUCUAGCGGAAAGUGAGGUGGGAGGCAGAAGUUAUAGUCAAUGAUCAGAACUAAAGGCUUAAGAAAAAAGAAAUAUAAAUAAAAAACUCGUGUAAAGUAUUCCUGCCUUCUUUUUCCUUUUUUUUUUUUCUUUCCAACUGCUCAUAUUUUGGAACUGUAUGAGCCAGCUUUUACAUACUGAUCAAUCUUUUUAAGUUUAUACAUUCUUUUUUUAAGAAACAAAGAUCAGGUUGAACUCCUAGGCAAAAAGGAAAAAUAACAUGACGAAUGCAUGCAAUCUUCAUGGGCAAGGGCAGGGCAACUCUCAAUGUGAGAGUUCACCAUCUUUUCCUGCCUCUAAUUUUCACUGAAUAACCUAAGACCACCUUCAGAUCCUAGGAGUCCAACAGAAAACCCAAUUUAACAGCAAGUUCUAGGGUAUUCCAUAUAAUCUCACCUUCAGGAAAAGUCCCCAAACUGGGAGAUGGGACUCUAGUGACCAACCACAGUUAAGUGACCUUUCAAACACUUGAUUCUCCCACACUCUAACAAUCCUGGCCCAAGUACUUACUCACUGUGGGCUUUGGGUACUUCACCUUCCUCCUCUGUAAAACAGGGACGAUAAUACCUUCUUCAUCAGGUGGUGGGAAAAUUAAAUGAAUAGCACUUAUUAAUUAAAUGAAAAGCACUUAGAACAGUGCCUGGCACAGAGUAAGUGUUCAAAUGGCAUAAGCUAUUAUUACUACCAGAAUUUGCAAACAAACAAAAAACACUACAAAGGCACCUGCAGACAGGAGGCUUCUGAUGUACCGGUAAUGUUUUGUUGCUUUAAAAACCAUCUAAAAUCAGAACCGUCAAUACAAAAAAUUAAAAAGGUUUUGUAAACGGGGAGGAAAAGCCAUCCAUAAUCAUGCCACCUGUUGGUGAGUUUCAGGGUAAGCUACAUCUCUGAGCCUGGGUUCCACCACUGCUCCGUUUCCCUCUAAAACGAUGCCUCCCCUCCUGCUGCGGUUCUUAACCAGCGUUUCAUGGGCAGAAUUACAGGCGGGUCCGUGAGCCCUCUGAAACUGUACAGGAACUGGGUGAGGCUGCGGCUCUGGGCAUUUUUUGAGGGGAAGGGCUCCACAGCUUUUCUCAGGCUACAAUAAAUUAUCCAGGUAGGAGCAACUUGCUUUAUAGGGUUAAGCUCAGGGGAUGUCGACUGAGCAAUUCAUUUUACGGAAGCUGCACCAAUAAACCUGGACACCUGGGCUGUUAACCAGCUAUCUCAAUAGCAGAGAGGCCCGGCACGGAGAGGGGCGAGAGCCCGCCAGGCAGCGCACUGCACUGCACCCCUUACCCCUUACAUACAGUCCUGUGAACUUCACCGCGGAAAAACUCACGGGCUCCACAGAUGAGACCCAGGUUUGCCGAGUUUAACUUUCCCUCCCUUCCCCCAACUCGCGUUCCCUUCCAAGAACAAACGCAAAGGAAAUUGGCAACGCUCCGUCUAGGGUUUCACUCCUGCCCUCGGCUGACACUUAAACCACUUCUCCCAGGGAAGUUAAUUAAAAGCACAAUUAAUCCGCACAAAAAUCCAAAACAUACCCCAAAGCUCAAGAGCUCCUGAAGUUAGAAGAUUGAGGGCUCCUCUGCUGAUUGUGACCUUCUGGCCGUCACUGGGUCUCAGGGGUAGGCAGGGGAUACGACAGGGAAGAGGCAUAGGGUCUGACGCCAGCCACCUUCUCCGCGUCUAUGCUUACCGCCACCAGUGAGGACGGGCUUGGUUGGAGACAGCCAGGUAUGCAGCUCUCAAGCCUACUUCCGGAAUGCACACUGAAGUUAUAUAUUGAGCUUGACUCCAUCCUCCACAAGGGAUAUCACAGCGUGGCUCUAAUGCCCAGUCAUGAAGUCUGGAGGUUGAUGGCUCUACACGUGGUCUAAGCAGCUCCAGGACAUUAAGGCAUGGGUCAGAGUCUCUGAGACAGAGUUACCAGCUGGCUGCUACAACUAAAGACAUUCAUUUGCUCAUAUAGUUUGUGAACUGCCUAGCUGACCAGGAUGCAGUAGAGGUACCCAGAGGAUGCAGCUCAGCUGAUGUCAAACCAUUCCAGCUUGCACGCUUGGAGGCAGAAGAGCUAUGCCCUCGAUCCUGUCUUUGCUGCCCUUCCCCCAACAGCCACAGCUUUCUGAGAAGAAGACUGGCCCCAGAAUUCUCAGGAGUUGGAGGGAAAAGUCCUAAAUUAAACACCUAGAAAUCCUUAGGCAAGCAAAACUAACAAUUUUGAUGGAAAUAGGGUAGUGAUGAUCCGGAAAAGCAACAGGGAGGCAGGGAAAAGGAAGCAUAAAGAACCGAGCAAGGAGAAAUCAAAGAAAGAGAGUACAAAGAGGACUGGGUAAUUUAAUUUUCAGUGAUGGCUCAAUCUGCCUGAUAAACUCAAGAAAUUCUCCUUAAGCUCAGAGGAAAAGGACAAAAGAAAUUGUGAGAGAUAAAAGUUGAGACAGAGAAAAGACAAAGCCAAGAUAUUAAAAAUCUUUUCAUAACGUGCCCAGAAAGGGAGCAUAGAGCUGAUAGAGGAGAAACUGUUCUUGUACCCUACAUCAGAGGAGUCAGUGACGCCAGGAGGGGUUAUACAUCCCAUAGGUCUAUAAGGUGGAGGGGACUUUGUCUAAAGGGCCUAUGAAAAGUACAAGGACAGACUUCCACUCUGUGACAGACGUUUAAACCCUCACAUUGAACUUCUCAUCCUGCCUUUCUUCCAAACUCCCAUUGAAACAGCCAAAGGAAAAUAAUGAUAGGGGAAAAUCUGUCAUUCUUCAAAACUGAAGAAGGAUUACACCCACAUACCAGACAUUUCAAGGAAUUUCUGUGAGACUUAAUGCAGAUGAAACCAGUUUGAGAGAAGGGUUUGACAACCUUCAAUUCCCCUCACAGAAAAGAACCGCCUCUCCAGGGAGGGACCCCCACCAGGACCCAGUGAUGCUCCCAGAGUUGGUGGUGACAAGGGCUGUGGGCAAAAAUUGAUCCCAGAAAAGUCAGGAGGGGCAAAUCUCCUUCGUCCUGAAGCAUGCAGGAUUGCCCAGGUAUGGGAGUGCACACAGGACAAGGGUCCCACUGGGGGCUCACAUUUGAUGCCUGGCACAGAGAGAACAUUGCCAAGGAGCUAGCUUGAUGUGGUUACAUGCAGGGAAAAGGAACUCUUUAAUAUGAAGGUGAAACUGCUCUUUUGAGAGUCUCCACAGACAACUGGCUCUUAAUUGUUUUCUUUCAUCCAUUCAUUCAUGACAAGCCUGCUAUGUUCCAGGCACUGAGUUAGGCACUAGGGAUUCAACAAUGGACAAGUAGAGUGUUCUCUGUUUUGUGAAGUCACUCAAAAGAAUUCAGCUUACCUCAGAAAGAAAAAAAAAUCAUCUUUGCAUUUGCUACAUAAACGCCAAAGACCACAGAGCAAUAUGCACGGAAUUUUGAGGGGAGAGGACUGUGACACAAAUUUGUUUCUUAUCAAGAUAUCUUAGACAAGCAGCUCUAAAAAACAUAAACUAUUCAGAUACCACCCAACUGAGAAAAAAAAAAAAAAAAAAAAAGACUCUACA